UGGGUAUAAGUCAACCCCACAAAAUAAGCUUGUAAGGUGAAGGAUGCCCACCAUUUAUAAACACCAUUCAGGCCAUAUCACCUUCCAAUGUGGGACUCUCAAUACACACCCCUCUCACACUCAAGAUUGGACAUCUAGAGCAUGAUCUAAGUGACAUGGUAACAGGUGGCCCAAUAGAUCUAGGAGAGGCUCUAAUACCAUAUUAGAAUUUUGGAUUGGCUCAAACUCAUCCAUACAAAAACCAGUUAAUAAGAUGAGGGAUGCCCACCAUGGUUGUCAGGAUCGGGAUCCCACUAAAGAUUGUUGGGGUAUGAAAAGAUCGUAGAUCGUAGGAUCGUAACAAGGAUCGUAAGAUCCCACAAAUUUUCUCAAACAUAAAAACAUCAUUAAUAUUAAACAUAAUCAAAACAUAAAAACUUCAUUAGUCAUUAACAUAAUCAAAAUAGCUUAGACUUUUAAACUUAAAUAAACUUAGACAUAGAAAAAUAACUUACACUCUUAAACUUAAAAACUAAACAUAGACUCUUAAACUUAAUAGCUUAGACUCUUAAACUUAAACUUAAAAACCCCUAAUUCAUCAAGUCUUUCGAGACAAGUGCAGUUCUGAGAGGUUGAAGAGAUGAGAAUAGGAUGAAGAGAAUUUAUAGAAGAGAUUGAACUAGGGAAUACAAGUGAAUGAUUAGUAAAUACUAUUAAUGAAAUUAGAGAUACAGUUGAUGAAUUAGGGAUAGGGAUGCGAUUUGUAUCAAGUAGCCACCAAUUCCCCAAGUUAACAAAAGUUCCUCAAUUUUCGAUCCAAAACGAGCAGGUUUCUAGUUGAAACGGUUCAGUUUCGGGGUGGGGAAGUGCAAUAUGAACCGGGUCAAAACAGAGCAACUGGGUCGGGUCGGUGCAAAACGAGUUGAAACUUUAUUGAUCCAGUAUGAAACGAUGCGUGGAAGAUCGCUGAUCCCGCGAUUUCACGCUCUUCCUCUGCGCUUUCACGGUUUCAGCGUAUCUUAGGAGUUUCGAACCGCUCCGGCACGGUGGAUGACGGCCAACUCGUAAGAUCGUAAGAUCUGAGGAGUUAACUCCCGAUCUUGACAACCAUG
rnacentral:lncRNA from 1 species